rnacentral:rRNA from 1 species
AUUGAACGCUGGCGGCAGGCCUAACACAUGCAAGUCGAACGGUAACAGGAAACAGCUUGCUGUUUCGCUGACGAGUGGCGGACGGGUGAGUAAUGUCUGGGAAACUGCCUGAUGGAGGGGGAUAACUACUGGAAACGGUAGCUAAUACCGCAUAACGUCGCAAGACCAAAGGGGGGGACCUUCGGGCCUCUUGCCAUCGGAUGUGCCCAGAUGGGAUUAGCUAGUAGGUGGGGUAACGGCUCACCUAGGCGACGAUCCCUAGCUGGUCUGAGAGGAUGACCAGCCACACUGGAACUGAGACACGGUCCAGACUCCUACGGGAGGCAGCAGUGGGGAAUAUUGCACAAUGGGCGCAAGCCUGAUGCAGCCAUGCCGCGUGUAUGAAGAAGGCCUUCGGGUUGUAAAGUACUUUCAGCGGGGAUGAAGGGAGUAAAGUUAAUACCUUUGCUCAUUGACGUUACCCGCAGAAGAAGCACCGGCUAACUCCGUG